UACGGGGGGGGCAAGCGUUGUUCGGAAUUACUGGGCGUAAAGGGCUCGUAGGCGGCCAACUAAGUCAGACGUGAAAUCCCUCGGCUUAACCGGGGAACUGCAUCUGAUACUGGAUGGCUUGAGUUCGGCAGAGGGGGGUAGAAUUCCACGUGUAGCAGUGAAAUGCGCAGAUAUGCGGAGGAACACCGAUGGCGAAGGCAAUCCCCUGGACCUGUACUGACGCUCAUGCACGAAAGCGUGGGGAGCAAACAGG
rnacentral:rRNA from 1 species